CCGUUCCCCGUUCGGGGGACAGGGUGACAGGUGGUGCAUGGUUGUCGUCAGCUCGUGUCGUGAGAUGUUGGGUUAAGUCCCGCAACGAGCGCAACCCUCGACCUUAGUUGCCAGCAUUCAGUUGGGCACUCUAAGGUGACUGCCGGCUAAAAGUCGGAGGAAGGUGGGAUGACGUCAAAUCAUCACGCCCCUUACGACCAGGGCCACACACGUACUACAAUGCCCGGUACAGCGAGUUGCGAAGCUGCGAAGCAGAGCUAAUCUCUUAAAACCGGGCCAAGUUCAGAUCGGAGGCUGCAAUUCGCCUCCGUGAAGCUGGAAUCGCUAGUAAACGCAGAUCAUCAUGCUGCGUUGAAUACGUUCUCGGGCCUU
rnacentral:rRNA from 1 species